rnacentral:rRNA from 1 species
AUGAGUUCGUCGUAUGAUUCUUCCGAAGAAGAAUUUGAUAUGGAAGAGGAGAAGGAUAUUGCAAUGAUCCUAGCUAUGCAUAUCAAUAAAAAACCGAAGCACGGUGGUUCGGUUAUGGGUCGGGAGAAAAUUUGGAGAGAUAGGAUUGAUGUCCAUAACAGAUUGAUGAAGAACUAUUUCGUGGAGAAUCCCACAUACCCGGAGUCGUAUUUUCGUCGCCGGUUUAGGAUGAGCACCGACUUGUUCAGGCGCAUUGCAGAGAAACUAGCGAGCCAUGACCGGUUUUUCCAGCAAAGAAGGAAUGCCGCCGGAGAGCUCGGGCAUAGCACUUUUCGGAAGGUGACAGCCGCUUUGCGUAUGUUGCCAUACGGUAUCCCGGCUGAUCUAGUUGAUGAUCACUUGGCUAUGGGUGAGAGCCAAGCCAUCAUGUGUGUCAAGCGCUUUGCAGUGGGAAUUGUGCAAGUGUUUGGCGAGGAGUAUUUGAGAUCUCCCACUGCUGAAGACGCCGCAAGGCUAUUGGCGAUGAACAAAGCGCGCGGCUUUCCUGGCAUGCUUGGCUCAAUAGAUUGCAUGCAUUGA